GACGAACGCUGGCGGCGUGCUUAACACAUGCAAGUCGAGCGGUAAGGCCCUUUCGGGGGGUACACGAGCGGCGAACGGGUGAGUAACACGUGGGUGACCUGCCCUUAGCUCUGGGAUAAGCCUGGGAAACUGGGUCUAAUACCGGAUAUGACUCCAUGACGCAUGUUGUGGGGUGGAAAGCCUUGUGCGGCUAGGGAUGGGCCCGCGGCCUAUCAGCUUGUUGGUGGGGUGAUGGCCUACCAAGGCGACGACGGGUAGCCGGCCUGAGAGGGCGACCGGCCACACUGGGACUGAGACACGGCCCAGACUCCUACGGGAGGCAGCAGUGGGGAAUCUUGCGCAAUGGGCGAAAGCCUGACGCAGCGACGCCGCGUGGGGAUGACGGCCUGGU
rnacentral:rRNA from 1 species